rnacentral:snRNA from 1 species
AAACUAGAGUUGUGGUAGUAUUGUAGUCAAUAAGGCCUAUCUGAGGCAUGAUUAUUGCUAAUUGAAAACUUUCUCAAUACCCCGCUGUGAUGACUAACAAUACAGUCAGCAUUGGCAAUUUUUGACAGUCUAUAUGGA